GACUAACGCUGGCGGCGUGCCUAACACAUGCAAGUCGAACGGGGCCCUGGUUCGCCAGGGUCUAGUGGCAGACGGGUGAGUAACACGUAGGUAAUGUACCCUCUUGCUGGGGAUACCUGUCCGAAAGGAUGGUUAAUACCGAAUGAGCCACGACCGGGGCAUCCUGGUGGUGGCAAACUGGCAACGGGCGAGAGGAUCAGCCUGCGGACCAUCAGCUGGUUGGUGGGGUAACGCCUACCAAGGCGACGACGGUUAGCCGGUUUGAGAGGACGAUCGGCCACACUGGGACUGAAACACGGCCCAGACUCCUACGGGAGGCAGCAGUGAGGAAUAUUGCACAAUGGGGGAAACCCUGAUGCAGCGACGCCGCGUGAGUGAAGAAGUAUUUCGGUAUGUAAAGCUCUAUCAGCAGGGAAGAAAAUGACGGUACCUGACUAAGAAGCCCCGGCUAACUACGUG
rnacentral:rRNA from 1 species